AUUGAACGCUGGCGGCAUGCCUUACACAUGCAAGUCGAACGGCAGCACGGGUGCUUGCACCUGGUGGCGAGUGGCGAACGGGUGAGUAAUACAUCGGAACGUACCUUAUCGUGGGGGAUAACGCAGCGAAAGCUGUGCUAAUACCGCAUACGCCCUGAGGGGGAAAGCGGGGGAUCGAAAGACCUCGCGCGAUUAGAGUGGCCGAUGCCUGAUUAGCUUGUUGGUGGGGUAAAAGCCCACCAAGGCGACGAUCAGUAGCUGGUCUGAGAGGACGAGCAGCAACAAUGGGACUGAGACACGGCCCAGACUCCUACGGGAGGCAGCAGUGGGGAAUUUUGGACAAUGGGGGCAACCCUGAUCCAGCAGUGCCGCGUGAGUGAAGAAGGCCUUCGGGUUGUAAAGCUCUUUUGUCAGGGAAGAAACACCGGCUCUAACACAGUCCGGGAAUGACGGUACCUGAAGAAUAAGCACCGGCUAACUACGUGCCAGCAGCCGCGGUAA
rnacentral:rRNA from 1 species